rnacentral:misc_RNA from 1 species
GUGAAUCAUCGAAUUUUUGAACGCAAAUUGCACUCUCCUCGGAGAGUAUGCCUGUUUGAGGUUCAUCCUAUAAAAAAUCAACAUCGUUGCUCUGUCGCGGUGGCGUUCGUCUGAAAUUGUGUCAUCUUCAAUGUUUUGUUUUUAAGCGACUUAAAAUUUUCUUUUUGGUUCCAUGAACGUUUCUAAGAUUUAUUUCUUUACACGUUUAAGAUAUCGAUUUUUAUUAGACGGGACCAUCAUGGCGGAUUGCUCUUAU